rnacentral:rRNA from 1 species
AGUAACGCGUGAGGAACCUGCCUCAAAGAGGGGACAACAGUUGGAAACGACUGCUAAUACCGCAUAAGCCCACGGCUCGGCAUCGAGCAGAGGAAAAAGGAGCAAUCCGCUUUGAGAUGGUCUCGCGUCCGAUUAGCUAGUUGGUGAGGUAAUGGCCCACCAAGGCGACGAUCGGUAGCCGGACUGAGAGGUUGAACGGCCACAUUGGGACUGAGACACGGCCCAG